AGUGAACGCUGGCGGUAGGCCUAACACAUGCAAGUCGAACGGCCGCACAGUAAGAGCUUGCUCUUACUGGUGGCGAGUGGCGGACGGGUGAGGAAUACAUCGGAAUCUACUUUUUCGUGGGGGAUAACGUAGGGAAACUUACGCUAAUACCGCAUACUACCUACGGGUUAAAGCAGGGGAUCUUCGGACCUUGCGCGAUUGAAUGAGCCGAUGUCGGAUUAGCUAGUUGGCGGGGUAAAGGCCCACCAAGGCGACGAUCCGUAGCUGGUCUGAGAGGAUGAUCAGCCACACUGGAACUGAGACACGGUCCAGACUCCUACGGGAGGCAGCAGUGGGGAAUAUUGGACAAUGGGCGAAAGCCUGAUCCAGCAAUACCGCGUGGGUGAAGAAGGCCUUCGGGUUGUAAAGCCCUUUUGUUGGGAAAGAAAAGCAGCAGGAUAAUACCCCGAUGUUCUGACGGUACCAAAAGAAUAAGCACCGGCUAACUUCGUG
rnacentral:rRNA from 1 species